rfam:Erinaceus europaeus unplaced genomic scaffold scaffold00960, whole genome shotgun sequence
AUGCUUCAGCAACAUAUGCAAUAAGCUGAAAUUAUACAGAUAAAGUUAGCAUGGCCCCUUCACAAAGAUGACGUGCAAGUUCAUGAAGCGUCGCAGAGUAAA